AGAGAUUAAACUGAAGAGUUUGAUCCUGGCUCAGAUUGAACGCUAGCGGGAUGCUUUACACAUGCAAGUCGAACGGCAGCGCGAGAGAGCUUGCUCUCUUGGCGGCGAGUGGCGGACGGGUGAGUAAUAUAUCGGAACGUGCCCAGUAGCGGGGGAUAACUACUCGAAAGAGUGGCUAAUACCGCAUACGCCCUACGGGGGAAAGGGGGGGAUCGCAAGACCUCUCACUAUUGGAGCGGCCGAUAUCGGAUUAGCUAGUUGGUGGGGUAAAGGCUCACCAAGGCAACGAUCCGUAGCUGGUUUGAGAGGACGACCAGCCACACUGGGACUGAGACACGGCCCAGACUCCUACGGGAGGCAGCAGUGGGGAAUUUUGGACAAUGGGGGAAACCCUGAUCCAGCCAUCCCGCGUGUAUGAUGAAGGCCUUCGGGUUGUAAAGUACUUUUGGCAGAGAAGAAAAGGUACCUCCUAAUACGAGGUACUGCUGACGGUAUCUGCAGAAUAAGCACCGGCUAACUACGUGCCAGCAGCCGCGGUAAUACGUAGGGUGCAAGCGUUAAUCGGAAUUACUGGGCGUAAAGCGUGUGUAGGCGGUUCGGAAAGAAAGAUGUGAAAUCCCAGGGCUCAACCUUGGAACUGCAUUUUUAACUGCCGAGCUAGAGUAUGUCAGAGGGGGGUAGAAUUCCACGUGUAGCAGUGAAAUGCGUAGAUAUGUGGAGGAAUACCGAUGGCGAAGGCAGCCCCCUGGGAUAAUACUGACGCUCAGACACGAAAGCGUGGGGAGCAAACAGGAUUAGAUACCCUGGUAGUCCACGCCCUAAACGAUGUCAACUAGCUGUUGGGGCCGUUAGGCCUUAGUAGCGCAGCUAACGCGUGAAGUUGACCGCCUGGGGAGUACGGUCGCAAGAUUAAAACUCAAAGGAAUUGACGGGGACCCGCACAAGCGGUGGAUGAUGUGGAUUAAUUCGAUGCAACGCGAAAAACCUUACCUACCCUUGACAUGUCUGGAAAGCCGAAGAGAUUUGGCCGUGCUCGCAAGAGAACCGGAACACAGGUGCUGCAUGGCUGUCGUCAGCUCGUGUCGUGAGAUGUUGGGUUAAGUCCCGCAACGAGCGCAACCCUUGUCAUUAGUUGCUACGCAAGAGCACUCUAAUGAGACUGCCGGUGACAAACCGGAGGAAGGUGGGGAUGACGUCAAGUCCUCAUGGCCCUUAUGGGUAGGGCUUCACACGUCAUACAAUGGUCGGGACAGAGGGUCGCCAACCCGCGAGGGGGAGCCAAUCUCAGAAACCCGAUCGUAGUCCGGAUCGCAGUCUGCAACUCGACUGCGUGAAGUCGGAAUCGCUAGUAAUCGCGGAUCAGAAUGUCGCGGUGAAUACGUUCCCGGGUCUUGUACACACCGCCCGUCACACCAUGGGAGUGGGUUUCACCAGAAGUAGGUAGCCUAACCGUAAGGAGGGCGCUUACCACGGUGGGAUUCAUGACUGGGGUGAAGUCGUAACAAGGUAGCCGUAUCGGAAGGUGCGGCUGGAUCACCUCCUUUUAGA
rnacentral:rRNA from 1 species